GAACAUAUAAACCAACUACCAAGUGAAGAAGCUAAUGGAAAUUCAGCACCCAUAAGGGUUGGCAGAUUCAGGCCACAUUGGCAUAUUACUCACUGGUUGGAUGAAAUUAGAAUAAGUUAACUUUUUCUAACACUCAAAGUAGUAGCAGGAAUAUUGAUGAACCCAUAAGGGUUGGCAGAUUCAGGCCACAUUGGCAUAUUACUCACUGGUUGGAUGAAAUUAGAAUAAGUUAACAAGUAUGUCUCUUUUUUGUAUGAGUUAUCAAUGAAGUCAAUUGGUUCAACUUGUCAUAAUACAUUGCACAUAUAGCAUGUGGACAUGGUAUUCCCUUUAGCAUCCAAGAUAUGCAACUACAAACCUGCUUUCUAAGGCACACAGUGUGUUGCUUACCAUCAUCCAUGACUUCAUAUCUUGUUUGUCCAUUAAACUCAAUGGUACGUGUCAUUGGUUUUUCAAUAUUGUCCUCCAAUAUCUAUAAAGACAUUGGAGAUAUGUUGCUGCUCCAUGUGCUUGCGAAUGCCCUUAACUUGCCUAUUCUUGUCAUGAUCUUGACUCUAAUCUCCUCAAGCAUGCCAAUGAUAGUGUGCCUUGCAGCCAAGAUCCAAGCAUUAAAACUCUCAGACAUGUUAUUAUCCAUUGCAUCACAUUUGACUUAACAGUUGAAAUACACGUUGCACCAAUACUCCUUGUCAUAGUAUAGUAGAUCAUCCACUAUGUUUUUACCAAGCAUUGAUAGUGUUUUCAGAUAUAUUUUUUAAAAUCCAGCUUCAUAAGUGCUUGGCACACUUCCAGAAUAAUAUCCUCCUUUGGGAGCCCUCUCUACUUCUUUGACCAAUUAGCUAAGAUGUGCCUAGCACACAUCCUUUGCUCACAAGCUGAAAAUAAUUC
rnacentral:lncRNA from 1 species